rnacentral:rRNA from 1 species
UACAGAGGUCUCAAGCGUUGUUCGGAUUCAUUGGGCGUAAAGGGUGCGUAGGUGGCGCGGUAAGUCGGGUGUGAAAUCUCGGAGCUUAACUCCGAAAUUGCAUUCGAUACUGCCGUGCUUGAGGACUGGAGAGGAGACUGGAAUUCAUGGUGUAGCAGUGAAAUGCGUAGAGAUCAUAAGGAAGACCAGUGGCGAAGGCGGGUCUCUGGACAGUUCCUGACACUGAGGCACGAAGGCCAGGGGAGCAAACGGG